rnacentral:rRNA from 1 species
AUGGCUCGUCAAUUUGGCCGUAUUUUGGAGACCGGGGAGGCUGGAGACGUGACCUUUGAGGCGCAUAGGCAUCUGCUCGCUGCUCGAUCGCCGGUGUUCAUGGCGCAGCUCUUCGGUCCCAUGAUGGAGAAUGAUGCAAAGAGUAUACAGAUUGAUGACAUGGAAGCCAAGGUUUUCAAGAUGAUGCUCCACUUUAUUUACACGGACACACUGCCUAAUAUAGAUGAAGGUGAAAUCGUGGAGAUGGCUCAACAUCUGUUUGUGGCGGCAGACAGAUACAAUCUGGAGAGGCUCAAAUUGAUUUGCGCGAAUAUGUUGUGCAACUACAUGGAUGUAAGUACAGUGGCAACUACAUUGGCACUGGCUGAGCAGCAUGAUCGUGACAGGCUUAAGGAGGUAUGCUACAGGUUCCUCGCGUCUUUUCAAAAUUUGAAGGCAGUUACGCUGACUGAUGGCUUUAAGCAUCUCAAGAUCAUUCGCCCCAAUAUUCUAGAGGAGCUACUCGGUCGUUAG